CUUCUGGGAUGCAAAAUCUCAUGUAAUGGGGAUCAAACUACACUAUUAUUCAUUUAAGUUUUCAAAUGUAAUUGUACAUUAGAUAGUUUACCCUUUAGGUCAUUUAGAAUUUGAAAACACAGCUCUGUUCUUUGGGGGAAGCUCUGAGGAAGCUGAAGAUUUUAACAUAAUAUUUAUUAUUUCUUUCACAAGAGAGUUGGAUAUAUAUGUUUUAU